GUAAGCUCUCUUGCGGCAAAAAGUCCAUAAUAUGUCACUUAUCGAUACAGGUGGGUUACUAUAUGAACAAUAUUUGUCAAAAAUAUCCAUUAUUUAAUAACAACCAAUAUUGACGUAUCUAACAGUUUGGCAAAUGGUGCGGUGGGGAAACUAGUUUUUAAAAAAUUUAUUGUGUAUUUAUGAUAUGUAUAUUAAUAGCUACAAGCAAUUUAUUUUAUGAUUAAUAAUAAACAUAGAUAUGCUUAAAAAAUAUUUUUAAAUAUUAUUAUUUUUUUUUUUUGAUAAAUGAGACCACUCCGUCCAACGUAAUGAAGGGUGGCCAAUUUUUAAAUGCCUACAGGCGGAAAAUUUGUGAAUACGCUCCUGGGUGGGACACGUGAAGAGAAGAGUCUGGUGUGCUUGACAACAAGAGAAUCACGAUGAGACCAAAAGAUUAGUGUUCGGGCUCAAUGACCGAAAUCGUUCACGACGUAUGGUUUAGAGUAUCGUACAGUUGACUGAGAAAAUAGAGCAUAGAACAAGUGUAGCAUGGCAAAAUAGCUUAAACGGAUGAGUAAGAGAGGGGGAUGAAUAAAGAAAUCAGAUAACUGAUGCGUAGAUGUUGUGGGGGUAGAUCCGUGUCACGUGUUAGUAGUUUGGGAUAAGAGUGGGCCACACCUAGUAGUUGAGAUGAAGGCAAGAAAAAUAAAGAAGAAGAAGAUGGAUAUCUAAUAGUAAUUAAAUUAAAUUUGACUGACGUAAAAAGGUUAUGAUGCGUAUUUAAAAAAAAAGUCUAUUAAAAAUUACUGCAUGUUUGAUAACUUUUAGAAAACAAGUUACCGGAAUGUUUUUCUUUUAUUAAUGCGGAUUUUAUUUUUUUACUCCAUUUGAUUGAACCAUCUUGAUUAAAUGGUUUUUCGCUUUGUGUACAUUUUUAUACUUUUUAUUUGUGGUUAGUUAAUUAGUGUAUUAAUAAAAUUAUAAACAUUUAAAAUAGAAGGGAAAUGAAGAAAGAAAUAAAACAAACAAUGUAACGACCAGGAAGUAAAUAUUUAUAAACAUUUUUGAAAAUGAUUGUAUUAUGAAGUUUGUAAAAAAAGAAAAACAAAAUAUUUUGGUAUAUAAGACGAAGUGGAAUUAAUUGAACGGAAGAGAAGACUUCGGGAGUAAUGAAGGAGGAGUUCGUCUACUCAAAAGAAGGAAUCGAAGCUGACCGUUUGAUUUCACAAAAAAUGAGUUAUCAUUAGAAGAAAAAUUAGAUUGCCAUUUCCAUGAUUUUUCCCACCAC